GGGGAAUUUUCCGCAAUGGGCGAAAGCCUGACGGAGCAAGACCGCGUGGGGGAAGAAGGCUCUUGGGUUGUAAACUCCUUUUCUCUGGGAAGAACAAAAUGACGGUACCAGAGGAAUCAGCAUCGGCUAACUCCGUGCCAGCAGCCGCGGUAAGACGGAGGAUGCAAGCGUUAUCCGGAAUGAUUGGGCGUAAAGCGUCCGCAGGUGGCAGUUUAAGUCUGCUGUCAAAGACCGGGGCUCAACCUCGGAAAGGCAGUGGAUACUGAACAGCUAGAGUAUGGUAGGGGCAAAGGGAAUUCCUGGUGUAGCGGUGAAAUGCGUAUAGA
rnacentral:rRNA from 1 species